rnacentral:lncRNA from 1 species
UCGGCGGGAAAUCUGAGGCACCAGGCUCGCCCCCCUCCGUGGGGGGCCCUGUCGCCCCUGUCGUUGCUGGGGCGGAGAGGAAGAGGAGAUGGCACGACAUCAAAGAGUAAGUGGCUCGUCUUUCCAUGCUCCAUGCGUUCAUCGUCCUUGCAUGGCUGAUUCCUUGCCUGAUGUCCAGAGGUGUUGCUUCGUCGGUGGUGAAGAAGAGGAAGGCGGGCGUCAAGAGGAAGGCGGCUCCAGACGCACCGCCGACUCUCCCCAACACGUCCCAGCCUGAUGAUGAAGAAGAGGAGGCUCGCGGGUCGACCUCUUAGGCCUUGGUCACCGAGCCCCUCGAGCCCCCGAAGCGUCCUG